UUUUUUCUAGUUGUGUAAAGGUGUCUUGAAGAAUUUUCAGUGAUUUUGAAAGUGAUUCUCGGCCGUCUUCGAUUUUUCUUGAAUUUUUUUUUUACAAGUGGCCGAUAAGGGUAGCUUAGGGGUUGUUCCGGAGGUCGUGGGGCUUUUAUAAUUUUUUUCUAGUUGUGUGAAGGCGUCUUGAAGAAUUUUCAGUGAUUU